GACGAACGCUGGCGGCGUGCCUAAUACAUGCAAGUAGAACGCUGAAGGAGGAGCUUGCUCUUCUGGAUGAGUUGCGAACGGGUGAGUAACGCGUAGGUAACCUGCCUGGUAGCGGGGGAUAACUAUUGGAAACGAUAGCUAAUACCGCAUAAGAGUAGAUGUUGCAUGACAUUUACUUAAAAGGUGCAAUUGCAUCACUACCAGAUGGACCUGCGUUGUAUUAGCUAGUUGGUGGGGUAACGGCUUACCAAGGCGACGAUACAUAGCCGACCUGAGAGGGUGAUCGGCCACACUGGGACUGAGACACGGCCCAGACUCCUACGGGAGGCAGCAGUAGGGAAUCUUCGGCAAUGGACGGAAGUCUGACCGAGCAACGCCGCGUGAGUGAAGAAGGUUUUCGGAUCGUAAAGCUCUGUUGUAAGAGAAGAACGAGUGUGAGAGUGGAAAGUUCACACUGUGACGGUACCUUACCAGAAAGGGACGGCUAACUACGUG
rnacentral:rRNA from 1 species